UACGUAGGGGGCUAGCGUUGUCCGGAAUCAUUGGGCGUAAAGCGCGUGUAGGCGGCUCGGUAAGUCCGCUGUGAAAGUCGGGGGCCUCAACCCUCGAAAGCCCGGGUGGAUACUGGUCGGGCUAGAGUGGCGGAAGAGGCGAGUGGAAAUUCCUGGUGUAGGCGGUGAAAUGCGCAGAUAUCAGGAGGAACACCAGUGCGGAAGGCG
rnacentral:rRNA from 1 species